rnacentral:rRNA from 1 species
AGCGGCGCAAGGGUGCGUAACACGUGGGCAAUCUGCCAUGAAGUUUGGGAUAACUCGCUGAAAGGCGAGCUAAUACCGGAUGUGAAAAUUGGGAGGCAUCUUCUGAUUUUCAAAGCUGGGGACCGUAAGGCCUGGCGCUUCUUGAUGAGCCCGCGGCCUAUCAGCUAGUUGGUGAGGUAACGGCUCACCAAGGCUAAGACGGGUAGCUGGUCUGAGAGGACGACCAGCCACACUGGAACUGAGACACGGUCCAGACACCUACGGGUGGCAGCAGUCGGGAAUUUUUCACAAUGGGCGCAAGCCUGAUGGAGCGACGCCGCGUGGGGGAUGAAUGGCUUCGGCCCGUAAACCCCUGUCAUUCGCGAUCAAACCUUAUUAUUUAAAAGAUGAUGAGCUGAUAGUAGCGGAAGAGGAAGGGACGGCUAACUCUGUGCCAGCAGCCGCGGUAAUACAGAGGUCCCGAGCGUUGUUCGGAUUCACUGGGCGUAAAGGGUGCGUAGGUGGUGAGGUAAGUCGGAUGUGAAAUCUCGGAGCUUAACUCCGAAAUGGCAUUGGA